rnacentral:rRNA from 1 species
GCUAAACGCGAAGAACCUUACCUGGGUUUGACAUGCACAGGACGCACCUAGAGAUAGGUGUUCCCUUGUGGCCUGUGUGCAGGUGGUGCAUGGCUGUCGUCAGCUCGUGUCGUGGGAUGUUGGGUUAAGUCCCGCAACGAGCGCAACCCUUGUCCUAUGUUGCCAGCGGGUGAUGCCGGGAACUCUAAGGAGACCGCCGGUGACAAACCGGAGGAAGGUGGGGAUGACGUCAAGUCAUCAUGGCCUUUAUGACCAGGGCUACACACGUGCUACAAUGGCAGGUACAGAGGGAAGCCAACCAGCAAUGGGGAGCCAAUCCCAGAAAGCCUGUCUUAGUCCGGAUUGGAGUCUGCAACUCGACUCCAUGAAGUUGGAAUCGCUAGUAAUCGCAGAUCAGCAUUGCUGCGGUGAAUACGUUCCCGGGUCUUGUACACACCG